AUUGAACGCUGGCGGCAUGCCUUACACAUGCAAGUCGAACGGCAGCACGGGAGCAAUCCUGGUGGCGAGUGGCGGACGGGUGAGUAAUGUAUCGGAACGUGCCCAGUCGUGGGGGAUAACGUAGCGAAAGCUACGCUAAUACCGCAUACGAUCUAUGGAUGAAAGCGGGGGAUCGCAAGACCUCGCGCGAUUGGAGCGGCCGAUAUCAGAUUAGGUAGUUGGUGGGGUAAAGGCUCACCAAGCCGACGAUCUGUAGCUGGUCUGAGAGGACGACCAGCCACACUGGGACUGAGACACGGCCCAGACUCCUACGGGAGGCAGCAGUGGGGAAUUUUGGACAAUGGGCGCAAGCCUGAUCCAGCAAUGCCGCGUGCAGGAUGAAGGCCUUCGGGUUGUAAACUGCUUUUGUACGGAGCGAAAAGGCUCUCUCUAAUACAGGGGGCUCAUGACGGUACCGUAAGAAUAAGCACCGGCUAACUACGUGCCAGCCGCCGCGGUAAAAC
rnacentral:rRNA from 1 species